rnacentral:lncRNA from 1 species
CAUAAUGUGUGUAUUCACACCAAUAUACCUAUUAAAAAAAUCAACUCUUCUCAGAAUCAUCAAUUUAACUUAACAAUGCCAAAUACCUGUCUUCUGCAACAAAAUUCCUAUGCUCACAGCGGUCAGCAAGUCAGAGCCAGCAUAUAGAAUAGUGAUUGACGAGCAUUCAAGUUAAUCGUAAGUUUAAGCGGAUGCUCUCAUUGUUUACAGGAGCGCAUUCUUGACUUAAAUAGGCAGCCGAUCAUAUUUAGGGAGGCGGAACGACUCGAGUGGCUUACCUAUGCUCUUUCUUGUGUAUUUCUGUCUUAAUUCUUCUUCUUUCCUUUUUACUUCUCCUUUGUGUUUUUCCCUCCUGGGGUCAAUAUUUUACCAGCUGCAACGUAAAUUAGAUAAAACUCCUAAUUGAAGAAUAAAUACAUUUUCCUACAUGAAGUUAAAUAAACUAAAAUACAUAUAUUUAACUUUAUAACAAAUAUAAGAUAAAACAAUAAAACAGCUAAACAAUAUAUUCUAAAUGAAAAAUGAAAAGAAUAAAUACACAAUAUAACAAAAUUAAAUUUGCUAAUAGUGGCUGAUUUUAUCAACCCUUUGUUAGUUGAUCCGCCAACUUGUUUUGUUCCUUGUAGUUUGCAUUCAUCAAAGGUUCUCCCCAGCUUGUCUAGCUUACCUGCAAUCAUAAAUAAUGUUAGAAUAAUGUAGAAGUUUGUGUCAUGGAUAAAGUUAGUUUAUGCCAAUUUCCAAGGGCAUGAAGGGCGAUACUGCCUACUGAUAAUAGGGCAACGAAAACAUUUUGUGCAUUCCACUAGAAUCUUAUCUAACAGUUGUCAAGUUAUAACAAGAUUAUCUUUGUUCAAGGGAAGGUCAUAUUUUGAGCUAAAACAAAAUGUACUUCAGAACAAUAAGUUUAAUUUAGUUUGAUGAAUUUUGUCCAAGGAGCGUGAGAUAUGUCAUGGGCGAGCCAUGCCCCAUGACCCUUUGGACGCGUCCCAUGGCGUCCUACCAAGCCGCCCAACGCCUAGCACCAUGGACCCCGUGGCCUUGGCUGCGCCAAGUGACAAGCGUGCAUGUGCCUCUGUCGCCCCACCGAUAGCCCUCGCCAGCGCCCAGCCGCAGGCAGAUGCCAACAGCGCCGCGCGCAGACAAUGCCGCGCGCACAGACCGUGAUAUCAAAGACAAGGUUGCUGACAAUGGACCUGUUUCUACCUUGCAGAAAACUAAGUCCUUUUCAUUGUAAAUAUAAAAUACUUUUAUUUCAUGUACUUCCAUUAUGUUCCUCUAGCUUAGUUAGGCCAAGUCAUGUAACUUGGGUUUAUUUAAUCAUUAUUAGGGUGGAUCAAGCAAUCAAACUUUCUAGAUGGCAAGCAAUUCUCUGUACUGGUGUCUCUCCCCUUGACACCGUGUUGCUUUUCUGUAAUAGUUUUCAUUAAUGCAAUCAAGCUUUCUUUUAUUCUCAAUUCUCUUUUCUGUUCUCUCAAUUGCUCUUGACAUUGGUUUUCCCGUACGGCACUGACAAUCUAGUCUAGCGUAUGGAGGGGACCUCAGUUGGCGGAUAGUAACUACAGGGACAUCGGUUGCUUCGCCUUACGUCGCCCUUCCAAGGAAUCUCAGGAAGGCGCCGCGUAAUAGUUGGUAUAAGAACUUAGGCUCGACAUUGGACGAGGGAACACAUUGCUAUUACCACCAUUUCUGACCAUGGUGAAUCAUGGGACCGCAUUGCAGACGGUUGACGUAUUACGAUCCAUCGUGGAUACGGUGCCUGAACUAAGAACCAACCUAAUGCAAAUGUUGGACGACCUGGAUCGCAGAAUGCUCCAGGCCGAAGUUGACAUAGAAAACAUUAGUCGCGACUCUGAGGGAGACUGGCAAACGGCAGCCACAGAGGCAGCCAAAACUUUUGGUAAAUUUGAGGGCCUCCAAUAGGAGCGUGCCGAGGAUUUAACCUACAGGGCAUAAAGGUGACUGCCAUGCAACAAACUAUAGACAACUUGACAGGCCAGUUCAAUGUUGCCAAUGCUGCGCUACAAGGCCUGCUUGGAGGAGGCGAAAAUCAAAUUGGGGAUGCUGUGAACCUCGCCCCCGUGGCACAAAAACUGAAAAUUCAUGAGCCAAAGCCAUACAAUGUAGCUCUGAAUGCCAAAGAAGUGGAAAACUUCAUCUUCGACAUCGAACAAUACUUCGAUGCCGUUGGGGACCUAGAAGAAGCGAAGAAUGUAGCAACUACUGCCAUGUAUCUUCAGGGUGAUGCUAAACUCUGGUGGCGGGUGAAGUACGAAGCCAUCAAGGCCGGUGAAGAUACUCUCGAGACAUGGGCAGAACUGAAGGCAGCCAUACGCCUACAGUUCUUCCCCGAAAAUGUUGAGUACAAUGCAAUGAGAAAGCUACGGGAGCUCUGCCAGACCAAAUCAGUGCGGGAUUACGUGCGAGAAUUCUCCGCGCUCAUGCUGAACAUACGAGACAUGGGGGACAAAGACAAACUCUUCACAUUCCAAGAAGGGUUGAAACCUUAUGCCUAUAUGGAGCUGCAAAGACAGGGUAGACACUUUACCUAAGGCAAUACAAGCAGCGGAGUGCCUUGACGACUAUCAAGUGGAAGCUCGGAAGGAUAGGCCUCAACAGCCUGCCCGAGGGGGAUAUAAAGGGGGCCAACCUAACACUAGUGGCCCUAACAGAAGUGGAGGAGAUCGGAGUGCAACUAAAUCUAAGGCUCCCUCCUUAGGCAAUACUUGUGUUGCAUCUAACAACGACGAUCGGGGGAGAAAACCCCCUUUAGGAUGCCAUCAUCGCGGCGGGCCACAUUGGAAUAAUGAAUGCCCGCAUGCACAGAUGAACGCCCAUCAAGCUUUUGAUGAUGGGACAAAUGACGACGCAGAUGAUGUCGACCAGACCGAACCCGUAGGUGCCUUCAAUGCAAUAGUUGGCUUUAUUUCUAAAGCCUUAGCGGGAACCAGUGUUGGUAUCCGUAAGGACCCAUGCCCAAUCACCAAGAAAGGGAAAAAGAAGGCGGAUGAGAAGACUCCUCAUGUUCGUCGAGAUGAAGGUGAAUGGCAAGCCCAUUCGAACGAUGAUAGACACGGGUGCUACCCACAACUACUUAGCCUCUACUCAGGUAGAGCGCCUUGGUCUAGUUGUAGGAAAGGGCAGAGGUCGUGUCAAGGCUAUCAACUCACCGCCUCAGCCAGUGGGUAGAAUAGCCAAAGAAGUACCAGUGAAGCUAGGCCCUUAUGAAGGAAAAUUCAACUUGCGCGUGGUGAUCAUAGAUGACUUCGAGUUGAUAGUUGGGUUGGAAUUCCUGAGAUAAACCAACACCAUGCCCGUACCGUAUGCCGACAUGCUACUGAUGAUGGGAGCACACGGGGCCAAGCCCUGCAUUAUCCCGUGUAUGCCCAUAAAGAUGGCAGCUGAGAACAUCUCGACCUUACAGUUGAAGAAGGGGGGUCAAAAGACAUGAAACUACGUACCUAACAACCUAUGUAUUGAAGAUAUAGAACGCUCCUCGGGUCCCAUUCCUGCACCCGUGAAGGAGCUGCUACUAGAGUUUUAAGACGUCAUGCCACAGGACAUGCCAAGGGACUCCCGCCCUAAGCGCACUAUGGACCAUGAAAUUGAGUUGGUGUCGGGUGCGAAGCCACCCGCCCGGGCGCCUUACAGAAUGUCACAACCCGAACUCACCGAGCUUCGGAGACAAUUGACGAAAAUGCUAGACACAUGGAUCAUCGUGCCCUCCAAAUCCCCGUACGGAUCCACUGUGUUAUUCCAAAAGAAACAUGAUGGCAACCUACGACUCUAUAUGGAUUAUCAGGCUCUAAACAAAAUCACUGUGAAGAACAAGUAUCCUAUUUCGCUAAUGGCAGACUUGUUCGAUAGGCUGGGUGGUGCGACGAUGUUCACCAAAAUAGACCUGAAGACAGGUUAUUGGCAAGUUCGGAUUGCGGAGGGUGACUAACGCUCCAACCACAUUUUGCACCCUCAUGAACCAUGUCUUCUGUGAGUACAUUGACGAAUUCGUGGUGGUCUACUUGGAUGACAUUAUGGUAUAUAGCCAAACACUGGAAGAACACCUGGAGCACUUGCGGAAGGUGCUAGGCUGAUUGCGGGAGCACGAAUUAUAUGCAAAGCUAUCCAAAUGCUCCUUUGCUCAAAAACAAAUUGAAUUCCUCGAACAUGUCAUCGAGGAAGGGUGAAUCAAAAUGGACAAGCAGAAGAUUCAGGCUAUCACAGAUUGGCCGCCGCCUAAGGAUAUCCAUACCUUGAGGGCGUUCCUUGGCCUAUGCAACUUCUAUCGGCGAUUCAUGAAAAAUUACUCCCUCAUCGCGGUGCCAUUGACAGAACUCCUAAAAAAGGCUACGCCUUGGGAUUGGGGACCCAGGCGAGCGGAGGCCUUCGACGCAUUGAAAACGGCUAUGUCUAGUAGCCCCGUCUUGGCCUUCCUUGAUUUGGCCAAGUCGUUCGAGGUACAAACGGAUGCCUCAGACUAUGCCCUUGGCGGGGUCUUGCUACAAGAAGGGCAUCUAGUAGCGUACGAGAGCCGGAAGCUGAAGGAUGCAGAGCGGCGCUAUGCCUCCCACGAAAAAGAAUUAUUGGCUAUCGUCCAUUGCUUACGCCUUUGGAGGCACUAUCUGCUGGGAACCCCGUUCGUGGUCAAGACAGACAACACAACGGUUAGCCAUUUUAUGACCCAACCAAAGUUGAAUGGCCGCCAGGCCCGGUGGCAGGAACUCUUAGCAGAAUUUCACUUCAACUUGGAGUACCGAAGUGGGAAGACUAACCAGCUUGCUGAUGCGCUCAGUCGGAGGGCUGACUUAGCAUCGGUGUGCCUACUUGCUACCCUAAGGGGGAGCGAAGUAGCCACCACUAUAAAAGACCAGAUACAUUGUUAGUUUACAGAUAUGCAUAGUGUAGUCUUGUCCCACAUUGUAAUAGGAUGUAUAUAGCUAUAAAUAGGGACCUCUUGUAUUGUAUUUAUCAUCCAAUAUUAAUAACAUAUUUUCUCCCGUGCCUUCUCACAUGGUAUCAGAGCAUUAGUUUGAAAAGAUCGUUGUGCGUCAUUCCGGCGUUAACCAGGAAGAAGGUACUUAGUCAUCGUAUAAUUUUUCCGGUGACCUAAGGCUUGUCUAAGUGAAAGUCAUUUUCUGUCGGUGUUGUGCUAAAACCAACACCACCACGAGGUAGAUCACCCUCCGACGACCAACCCUUGAAAUUUUAUCCGGCAGAAAAGCCGCCACGCGCCGGCAAUAACUUUUUCGGCGAGGGUUCCGGCCUUUUUUUUGCGAAGCUAGAUUUUGGGUUGAAUUAGGCCCGAAGUCCAUUUAUCGUGGUAUCAGAACUUUUUCGCGAAGCUAGCUUUUCAGGACAGCUUGCUCGCAAAGGAAUUCCGAGUCUAUCCAUCCUGGUAACGACAAAUUCCGACUUUGGAAUUUUCCGGCGAGCUACAGUAUUUCCGGCGUGAACAGUGUUUUUCAAGCUAGAACAAUGUUCUCUUUUCCUGCUGUAAACAGUGAUUUUCAAGCUAUUUCUUCAGUUUUCAAGCUAUUUCCCAUGUUGUAGCGACAUGGGAACCGAUACUUUGAAUAGUCGGAUGGUAUUUUUAGCAAAUUAUAUUGAGUUCAUUCAGUAUAAAACAUGUAAGCAGACUUGACUUGUUUCUCCUAAUCUUCAUCCUCUGAGUCUUGGGUCAUUGAUUCAGAUGCAUCAGAUCAUAUUUCUGGUAACAAAUCUCUUUUCACUACUAUUUUGUAUUCUCAAUCUCUUUCAAAAGUCACAAUGGCCAAUGGGUCUCAAACCAUGGCAACUGCAAUAGAUCAAGCAAGCUCACUUCCUUCCUUACCUUUAGAUUCAGUCCUUUAUGUUCCCAAUAGUCCUUUUAAUCUCAUAGCUGUUAGUCGCUUAGUCAAAUCACUUAAAUGCGCUGUUUUAUUUCUUGAUGACCAUAUUUUUAUACAGGAACGCAGUACGGGGCGGAUCAUUGGUACCAGGUGUGAAUCAAACGGACUUUAGUACCUUAUCCUUACUAAAUCACAUGGACUCACAUCUUGUCUUCCUUCUACAACUUGUCCUGUUACUGAUUCACCAGAUUUAUUACAUAAACGGUUGGAACAUCCCAGUUUGUCAAAACUUUAGAAAAUGGUAUCUGGUUUAUCUCACUUGUCAGCUCUAGAGUGUGAGUCAUGUCAGCUCGGUAAGCAUACCCGCUCCCAUUUCCCUCGGCGUCUUGAUAAUCGAGCAGUCACCUUUUACUUUAGUCCAUUCAGAUGUUUGGGGUCCUAGUCGGGUCAGUUCCACCUUGGGAUUCCGCUACUUUGUCAGUUUCAUUGAUGAUUAUUCCAGGUGCACUUGGAUAUUUUUGGUAAAAAAACGAUCUGAACUAUUUUCUAUUUUCCAAACCUUCCACGCUGAAAUUCAAAAUCAAUUUGGGUUUCUAUUCGCACAUUUCGUAGUGAUAAUGCCCGAGAGUAUUUGUCUUCCCCAUUUCAGCAGUUUAUGAAAUCUCAUGAGAUUAUUCAUCAAACAUCUUGUCCGUACACAUCUCAACAAAAUGGAGUAGCUGAAAGAAAGAAUAGACAUCUUAUUGAAACUGCUCGUACCCUACUCAUACAAUCUCAUGCUCCGUUGCGUUUUUGGGGGGAUGCAGUUCUUACAUUUUGCUAUCUUAUUAAUCGUAUGCCAUUUUCAGCUAUCCAGAACCAAGUUCCAUUCUCUGUCAUGUUUCCCUACUUACCUUUGUUCUCUCUUCUACCCCGUAUCUUUGGAAGCACUUGUUUUGUCCAUAACCUUACUCCAGGAACAGAUAAGUUAGCUCCUCGUGCUCUUAAGUGCAUAUUUCUGGGUUUCUCGAGAACACAAAAAGAGUAUCGAUGCUACUCUCCUGAUCUUCAGCGGUACCUUAUGCCCGCUAAUGUUACCUUAUUUGAAACCCAAUCAUACUACACUGGCUCAAGUCAUCACUUAGAUAUUUCUGAGGUACUACCAGUUUCAUCUUUUGGAGAUUCAGUCACUCCAGCUCCACCACCUACAACUCCAGUUGUAGCUCCACCACCUAUAGCUCCAGUUCCACCACCUACAGCUCCGGUUGUAGCUCCACCACCUAUAGCUCCAGUUCCUCCGCAUAAUCAAGUUCAACCUUCUGCAGCUCCACCACUCUUGACUUAUCAUCGUCGUCCACAUCCAGCAUCAGAACCAAGUGAUUCAUGCCCCGCAUCAGAUUCUCCACCUACUGCGGAUUUGUCUCUUCUUUGUCAACCAAUUGCACUCUGCAAAGGUGUACGAUCCACACUUAAUCCUAAUCCCCACUAUGUCGGUUUAAGUUAUCAUCGUUUGUCGUCACCUCAUUAUGCUUAUCUUCUUUGUCCACUGUUUCUAUCUCUAAGUCUACAGGUAAGGCACUAUCUCAUCCAGGAUGGUGAUAUGCUAUGAUUGACGAGAUGUCUGCUUUACAUGCUUGGGAGCUUGUUCCUCUUCCUGCAGGUAAGUCUACUGUUGGUCGGUUUAUGCAGUCAAAGUCGGUCCGGAUUGCCAGGUUGAUUUUUGGGCUUGAUUAUAGUGAUACUUUCUCUCCCGUGGCUAAAGUAGCAUCUGUUCGUCUCUUUUUGUCCAUGGCAGUUGUACGUCAUUGGCCUCUUUAUCAGUUAGGCAUUAAGAAUGCUUUUCUCCACGGUGAUCUUGAAGAAGAAGUUUAUAUGGAGCAACCACCUGGUUUUGUCCCCUCGAGCUUGGUUUGGUAAGUUCAACACAAUUAUUCAGGAGUUCGACAUGACUCGUAGUGAGGCUGAUCACUCUGUGUUGUAUCGACAUUCUGCUCCUAAUCUGUGUAUUUAUCUAGUGGUUUAUGUUGAUGAUAUUGUUAUUACUGGUAAUGAUCAGGAUGGUAUUACUAAUCUGAAGCAACAUCUCUUUUAGUACUUCCAGACUAAGGAUUUGGGUAGAUUGAAGUAUUUUCUAGGUAUUGAGGUCGCUCAGUCUAGCUCAGGUAUUGUUAUUUCACAGCGGAAGUAUGCCUUAGACAUUCUUGAGGAGACUAGAAUGAUGAGUUGCAGACCUAUUGACUCUCCUAUGAAUCCGAAUGCUAAGCUUCUGCCUGGACAGGGGUAGCCUCUUAGAGACCCUACGAGAUAUAGGAGGUUGGUUGGCAAAUUGAAUUACCUCACAGUGACUAGACCUGACAUUUUUUUUCCGGUAAGUGUUGUAAGUCAGUUUAUGGAUUCUCCCUGUGAUAGUCACUGGGAUGCAGCUGUUCGCAUUCUUCGGUAUAUAAAGUCAGCUCCAGGCAAAUGAUUACUAUUCGAGGAUCGAGGCCACGAGCAGAUUGUUGGGUACACAGAUGCUGAUUGGGUAGGAUCACCUUUUGAUAGACGUUCUACGUUUGGAUAUUAUGUUCUAGUAGGAGGUAAUUUGGUCUCGUGGAAGAGCAAGAAACAAAAUGUAGUUGCUUGCUCUAGCGCUGAAGCCGAAUAUCGAGCCAUGGCUGUGGCGACGUGUGAGUUAGUUUGGGUAAAGCAGUUGCUCAAAUAGUUAAAGUUCGGAGAAAUCAGCAAGAUANNNNNNNNNNNNNNNNNNNNNNNNNNNNNNNNNNNNNNNNNNNNNNNNNNNNNNNNNNNNNNNNNNNNNNNNNNNNNNNNNNNNNNNNNNNNNNNNNNNNNNNNNNNNACAAAAAAAGCGCUUUUGAAAUUGUUACCGGACAACAACCGCUACUCCCACACCGUGAAUGCACCAAACAUGUCAAAAUUUCCUCGAGCUGCUAGCUUUUCAAAAGAAUGGAAGCGAAAUUUGGAGAUAGUGCAGAGCUAUCUUGUCAAAACCCAAAAGCGGAAGAAGAGGCAUGCUAAUCAAAAUCGUCGCUUUGUUUUGAAUACCAAGUAGGAGACAAAAUGAUGGUCAAAAUCCCAAAGCGGUACUUGUUUGCAUGGGUCCAUGACCCUCGCUUAUUGCAAAAAUACAUUAGACCCUUGUCCAUUGAAAGGCGCAUUGGAAACCCCAGCUUGGUGGAAAAUCCAUCCCGGUUUUCAUGUCAGUCUUCUGAAACCUUUUCGGGAAGACAUGGAGGACCCUUCACGGAGCCAACUCACAAUACCCAGUAUUCGAGGCCCCAAUUCAAUCGGGAAAAAGGCGUGCUGAAGCUAUUCUUAAUGAUCAAGUGAUUCACGCCUAAAGGAAAGAUCACCAAGAAUUCUUGGUAAAAUAGCAGGGUUGUGAUGCGGAGGAGAAUGUCAUGGGCGGCUUUCCAGCCAUGCCCCAUUGGACGCGCCCCAUGGCAUCCUAGCAAGCCUCCCAACACCUAGCGCCAUGGACGACCCUGUGGUCUUGGCUUCGCCAAGUGACUAGCGCGCAUGUGCCUCUGUCGCCCCACCAAUAGCCCUCGGGAGCGCCCAGCCGCAGGCCGAUGCCAACGGCGCCGCGCGCGUAGACCGUGAUGUCAAAGACAAGGUUGCUGACAACGGACCUGUUUCUACCUUGCAGAAAACUAAGUCCUUUUCAUUGUAAAUAUAAAAUACUUUUAUUUCAUGUACUUCCAUUAUGUUCCUCUAGCUUAGUUAGGCCAAGUCAUGUAACUUGGGUUUAUUUAUUUUAAGCAUUAUUAGGGAGGAUCAAGCAAUCAAACUUUCUUAGCAAGCAAGCAAUUCUCUUUACUGGUGUCUCUCCCCCUCGAUACCGUCCUCGACACCGUGUUGCUUUUCUGUAAUAGCUUUCACUAAUGCAAUCAAACUUUUUUUCAUUCUCAAUUCUCAUUUUUUUUCUCUCAAUUGCUCUUGACAUUGGUUUUCUCGUACGGUACUGACAAUCUAGUCUAGCAUACGGAGGGGAACUCAGUUGGCGGAUAGUAACUACACGGACAUCGAUUGCUUAGCCUUACAUUAUCCUUACAAGGAAUCUCAGGAAAGCGUCGCGUAACAGAUAGGAAGCAGGGAAACAAUUAAGAAUGAUGGGUAAAUAUCAAUUACCUUGCUCAACUUUGUUUGAUAUUCAAAAUUGGUCUGAUUUCAACAGGAGAAAGUGUUUCUCUCCCUUUCAACUUUGGUGAUUGAUUGAAGACUAUGUAAUUUGGGAAGACUAGAUCAAUGUAGUUCAAUCGCAGGAAGUUGGGAAAGUUGAGGAAUAUGUGAAUAUGUAAAACUAGAGCUAACAAGGGAAGCAAGAGGGCACUUCAAUAUGGAUAGGAUCCAAUUCCCUUUAUUUCGAAUUAGAAAGAAAAAUCUCUGUUUGGAAAACUUUCAAGACUUUAUAAGUUUGACAUGCCUUGAAUUAUUUAUAUACUUGUAUAGGAAAGGAAGUUCUUCAGUAUAGAUAUAUAUAUGGGAGAGCCUCGUUAGAAUAGUGAUUUUUGUGAACUUGCAUAGAGUAUCUUACAUUGAAUUUGCUAUGGCGCAAAAACAUCUUUAACCACCAAAAUUAUUAUAAGAACGUGACUGGAACACUAUCUGAAUAGCAGUCACACCAUGUAGCUCAACUUAUGAUCAUGAUAGAUUCCUUAUUUAAUCAUAUAACAGUGGGAGACGAGUCUGAAUAUAAUGCACAAGAAAAUAUAGGAGGAACAUUGAAAAGUGGAAACCAGCAGAAAUACAGAUGAUAUUAGAACUCUGCUACAAGGGUGACAAAGGCAUGUUUUACGAAGUCUGAUACCUCAAUGCAUGAUACUAUUUUCUGGUGCUGCUUUCUGACAAUAGAACUAGUUACACUGUUGAGUUGUCCCACAUCGGAGGGAUUUGAGGUCCUUGGUCUCCUUAUAUGGUCUUAGGCAAUCCUCACCUCAUAAGCUAGCUGUUGGGGUUGAGUUAGGCCCAAGGUCCAUUUAUCAUACACCAGCAACUACAUGAAUGAAAAACUCUAGAUGACGAUCGUUCUUCCGUUAGGACUCCAGAAUGAGAAGAUAUAUGCUAAGUUUUUCUCAUCACGUCUUUCUGAAAUGAUAACUACUCUAGUAUCUUGUUCUUACUAUUAUUCUGGAACAUCAAGCAAUUCUGUGUCUCAUGCACGAAUGUGUUCCUUUUUCGCUGUACUUCUAGUUUUGAUAACAUUCAAGCAUGUUACUGACAAAAUCAAAUGAAAGACCCUAUGACAUACAUAGGGAGGAAGGGGAUGCAUUGCAUGUUAUAGUACGAAACAGACUUCAGAAGGCGUGUCACGUUUUGCUUGCAAAACUAUCAUCAUGGCACUAGAACUACAAUUUGGCUCGACUUCUAGCCAUUUCCCAUUUCUAUGUCAACAAUAUUGGAUUUCAAACCCAAAUAACAGAGGAAAUUAGAGACGGACACUGAGGAAACUUACAAAAAAACUAUGUGUACUCAAAGUCCCAAAACAGGGGUGGACCAAUACAGUCUUCCAUAGUACAGAAAGAAGUCCUAAACAGCAAAUGGCCCAAUAAAUUUGUUGUUCCAAUCAUUUUGUGCUAUCUUCUGAUUGCCAGCAUUUCUAUUCUGCCUAAACAUAUCUUUAUCAUGAUUUCAUUAAGCAUUUCUCAUUGAGUCACUAAAACUACUCAUGAAGUAUACCAUAACACCCCACUACCCUACUGGCUGACAAACUACUACCGCUGAUGUGUUGUUGUUGUUAGAAUUAUUUUAUCUAUUACCAUUAUACCACUAAACAAUUGCUUUCAAUGUCAUGAAUGCUUCAGAAAUACUCCAUCAGACAGACAGAUCGACAAACAGAAAAGGAGACAGAAACAGAAAUAAAGAUAUGUUAAACAAAAGAGAAAGGCGAAAGGCAAGGAAAGUUUGACCUGAAAGACUGGACCUCUUUUCUUUUUAUCAUAUCCGGGAUCCCAAUACUUACCUUAUUUCACCCAAAAACCUACAGAUAGUUACUUAACUACAGUUGCAGUUAUCAUUAUGCAUCUCUUGCAUGCAUUUACAUUAUGCUAGUUAUGUUUUAGGAAAUUCUCUUCGUUUUUCUUUUUUUUUUGUUCGUUAAUUAACUUCGUUAUAGUCUAUACAUUAUACGAAGNNNNNNNNNNNNNNNNNNNNNNNNNUUUAGUAAUUCUUCGUUUCGUUUUUUUUUUUUUUGGUUGGUGGGGGGGGGGGGGGUUACCCCUGAAGGUAUUCCUAGGAAUCUUAUAUUGAAAACUGAAAAGGUUUUAACAGAAUAGAUUUUGGAUAGACUAUACAAUCUUUAGUGAGGAAAAACUUGAACAUUGGACCACAAAUACAUGGCUGUCAUGCAUUUGGGUUAUCAUUCUGAAAUAUCCCCAUGUUAUAUUCUUUAUCUGAGUUCAGGUUGUAUGUUUAGACAAUUCCUUAUCACUCGAACAAUAUUCAAUAACUAGUAUAUAAUUUAGAAGAAGCACAGAGAAUGCCUACAGAAAUAACUUGUGUUCAAGAUAACAAAGCUUUCUUAUGCUCAUUAGAUCGUGUUCGAUAUUUUUCCCCCUUAUUUUGCUUCUAAUACUAAGCAUGAAGGGAACACCCACAACUAACGAGUUAAUCCAUACCUUGAUGAUUGGUACAUGAAAUUAGAGUAAAAAGAGCAAAACAAACUUCAGAGACCUACCUUAAAGACAGUACCAUUCACUUUGUCAACGUUUAGCGUGCCAUCACUCUCAACUCCAUUCAACUGAAAAACAAAGAGAGAAAAUAAAGAACUGCAGCCAUCGUGUUAAUAAGAGGCUGCAAAAGAUAUUAUCUGCCCUGUUUUAUUCGAGUUCUUUCUUAUUAGAUAAAACAGUAUUUAAUUACACUGACCUAGUAUGGAGACAACACAAUUUUUUUGACAAGGGAAGUCAACACAAUUUAACUAUUAUGUAUGUAGAGGCUAGACUAGAAACAAACAGAACAACUUUGUGAUACACUCCAAAAUAUUUGCUCAAUCAGUACAACGUAGACAAUUCUAAAUAUAUUUAUUUUGACAGCAUGAAGUCGGUGAUUGAAAGAUACAACAAAACAAAGGAGGAGAAUCACCAAUUGGCAACUCCAACUUCUGAGGUUAGGGUAAGUUUCACUGGUUAAUUUGCGGUCAACUAGUCAAAGAAAAAUAUGCAUACUAAGGUUUCUAUCAUAGCCACUUCAUGUCGUUGAACAAGGAAAUGGUUGAGUAGUUGAGACACAUGAGUAACAACCUGAGAUCUCAGGUUCAAAGCUAAGCUAUGACACUCGGUAUAAGCCUAUCUGCUCUACCAUGGUGAGUUGAUUUCGCGACACGUGUACGGUGGCCUGCAGCAGGCUUUUCGGUGGGAUAGUCUAGGUGCGAGCAAAGUGACCCUGACACCACUAUAAUAAGAAGAAAAAAAGAUGUUCAAAGUUAACAGAAAAAUUAAAUAGUAGAGAAUUUGGUAAUGAUUAUAUUAUCAAUGAAAGUUAAGAGGAUCAAUAAGAAUAAUAUGGAAAAUAUCCUUAGUGUCGUGUAAUAAAUAGGAAACCUUAGGAACAUGAAACUUCCUUAUCUCAUAUAUAGUUCAAAACUUUUCUACAAGGAGCCUUCUUGAUGUUAUCAACCAGUUCCAAUAAGAGUUUCUCUUCGUCUCUCUCCUUCCAUGUGGUAUUAGGCGUAUUAAGCUUCUACGAUAUUUGUGGAAAUCUAAGUACUACUCUUGCCUCUUUCUGAUAACCAUUCUAGGCAGCACUAUUCUUAUUUCCAGCCAUCAUUAGGCAGCAUUGUGACAUUUCAGGCUCCACAUUUCUUUCCUGAGAACAUUUGAGGCACCGCGCUGAUCUCUUUCAGGCAACCAUCCUGACGGCAUCGUCUCUUCCAGUCACUUUUCUCUGGCUUUGCAAGCAAUUACUCCAAUAAUUUCUUGUUACCCUUCAACUUUAAUUCAAGCUUACAUGAUUUAAUAGAGAUUUGUGUCACCAAAAUCUCUUUCCGCUAAAUCAAAACGAUUUUUCCCAUGUGCUGCAAGGCAUAUUUCUUUGGUUGUGUCGAUAACUGUCUAUGAGAAAGAAUAUGACCUUUCGAUGAUGAUCACUGUUCCGGCAACAAUCAGGAGUUGAACCUGUACUAAAGUUUUGGCUCAACUCCUAUCCAAGAUACAAGGAGUCUAUUAAGUCUAAAAGAGUUGUCAAAAUGAUCUUAGUGAGAAUUACUCCUAAUGUUCUGCCAUUGACAAGAUAACUAUUAACUAUUAUAUCAUAAUUGAAAACCCCAAUAAUUAGGAUUCUUCAGUCCAUUAAAAAAGAGCCCUCCUAUAUGUUAACCCAAAAAAGUUCAGUAAGAGUUUCUCUCCUCUUUCCUCUUUUCACAACAUGCGUAAAUUGUGGUGUAUUGUUGUUUACAGUUUUUCCUCGCUACCGAGAGAUCCCCGGCGGCCAAAGGGUUCGAAACUCCGGCAUAUGAUGGGCCCGCCCCUCUACCCUUCUCCACUUAAAUAUCUGGCUUUAUCUGAGGCAAGAUUCGAACCUGCGACGUGUGCCUACACAUCAUCGAUAUGCUCUUACCACUAGAACAAAGCCCUGGGGGGCAUUGUUCUUUACACCUCUUUGUGAAAAGGAUUUAAAAGAUAUUGGCACCUAUCCGCAAAUUUUAGCAAAUUAAUUAGAAUUAGGAGAUGGAGAGCAGGAUAAAGGGAGAGCAGGAUAAAGGGGCAAAAGCAAAAAAACAUAAACAAAAUGCUGCAAGAAGCAAAUUAAUUAGAAUUAGGAGAUGGAGAGCAGGAUAAAGGGGCAAAAGCAAAAAAACAUAAACAAAAUGCUGCAAGAAAGAAGCAUACAGAUUCUCAUAGUUACAGUCAGCUGUACCGUUGAAGAUGCUGGACUGAAGGCUAAAGUUUGAAGACAUAUAGUUUAAACGGAAGGAAGAUAUUUUACAAGACAAUAGCAAGAUUUCUCCAAAGUGUUUUAUAAAAGACACGAUAAGCCAGGGGCAAUCCAACACAUUGACGGAGAACAGGAACUAAGUAUUCCAGUAUUACAAUGCGGCAUGAAAAGCUACCUAUUGUAUGAACGUACUGCAACUUCAGCUAUUCAGGAUUUAACUGGAGAGAGGUCACAUAAAAGAAUAGAUCAGAGAGACUCCCAUUUGUCUAGCAAUCAAAGCAUAGGUAGGGACAGAACUGUCUUAUAGUUCACAAUUAUUUCGAUUUGCAUCAUAUCAACAAGAACAUCUUCUUCGGCUAAACAGAUUCCACAUAACCACUACAGUCGACACAGCCUGAUUCCUGCUAGAUUAAAACAACAAAAAUUAGGGUUUUCAAGCUCUUGAGGAUACUUACAGGCCACGUGUUUAGAAUAAAGGCCACAUGCUACCAUUUCACUGACGAUCACCAUUAAUAAAUCAACUUCAAGGAUUUAACAAUAUGUCAAAUUUUGUUGUACAGGAAAGUUUGGCCAUCUUUUAAAUUACUUUUACAGUGUAAAGGUUCUUUUAUUGUGGGAAAACUUCUAGUAUGACAGACUUCAAAGAUUGCUUAUCCCCCCAGGCCCCCUUCUAACCAGUGUCUACAAAAUCUCAAACAAAAUCUUCAGAAUUUUCAUCAUCUGAGUCAUGUAACUCAACAAGGAGAUUCAAUUUGUGGUAUAAGGAGUAAUGAUUUCCUUACCGUGAAGUUCAUUUCUUGAUAAUGGUCAGCUAAGGCACACCCCUCUCCUAACUUGUCAAACUUGAAUGUGGUACUAUUUAGUAUACGAGUACCUUUUUUGAAAAAAGAGGAGGAUAGCUGUCCUAAACUUUCUACCAAGAUAACAUUUGGUGUUAAUCUGCAACUUAUCUUCUUACUUCUACACAGUCCCUCUUGUCUUUAUUAAGCAGAUAAUGACAUUCAUGGAUAGCACUAGGUUCUAGGUACCACUGCUUCACUCAAGGUAUCCAACUCUAUAACCUGUCUUUGUCAUGCCAUCUGUUCAGUAUCUGGAGAUCAGUCUCUAAUCCUUCUUUGCAAUUGCAGAAGGAAAAAAUAGAAGUCAGACGCUAUGCUUCAUGUCUUCAAGAUGCUGCAAAGGAAUAAAAAUUCCCAUUAAAAAAUAGUUCGUUCUUCACAUAUCAGUAUUACAGGAAUUAUGCAGUUCAGGCACAUAGGAAAACGAAAUGUGAUGAGAAGUGAAACAGGAGAAACAUUGGGCCUUCCUGUGUUCAGAAAUCACACACCCUGAGAUACUGAUACUACUGUGAAACUGAAGCAGUGUAGAUUAGUCUACCUUUCAGGGGAUUUUCAUGUGACAGAGAGCCAUAUCAGUUCAGGUGCAGCAAGGAACUUUGGAUAUGGUAUUGGAAGGUAAUUUCUCGUAAGAUUGACCACAGAAGCAGAACUUGACUCCUUUUAUUAAUAAGACUGCAUAGGUCAACAUAAUUUAGGACAUAAUUAAGCAUUCUGCUGAGGGGUUAAUACUGCCAUCAUGACAUAUUGCACUCAUGCUCAUAGCACACACUUCCUACAGUACACAAAAUCCAAGAACAGAAGAUCUCAUCUAGAGUUGUGUUAUAAUCUCCAACUGGGGCACGUCUAAUUUCUUACUUGUACAAGAAAAACAAAUGUUGCCCAUAUGUCAUGAACCUAAUUAGUGUGACAAAAGGGAUUAAAAAAUAGUUAUCCAUUCAUAUUAUCAUGAACUUUUUAAAAACAAGUCAAAUAUGGAUAAGAACCAUAUUAUCCACUUAGAAAAUGAAUAACCAAUGGAUAACUAAUGAGUUUAACUUUUACAUUUGUAAAGAUUCAAAUUGAGGGUUCCUCAAGUUUGGGAGACUAGGAAUUCUCCCAAAAAUGAUCAUAUUCAAGAAGCCAUGGAUAAUAUAGAUAUCCACAUUAUCCACCGAUUAACUCAUUUUCUAUCCGUAUUAAAUAUGAGUUAGGUCAGGUAAUUUAUCCAUUUUUGCAUUCCCGUUUUCGACCUGCCCAUAUCCUAUCCGACCCGCCCGUUUGCCACCCCUAAACCUAAGCAAUACAUAUUAUGCAAAGACAUGAACAUAAGAACCAAGGAUAUGGCUAUAACAUUGAAGAACUAUAACCAGAUAAACCGUCCGCCUACAAACCAAUUUUCAUCACAUGCCAUACUAUCACUCUACAAAAAUGAAGCAAACUGAAAAUGACCAACAACUAAAGAGCCUAAAUAAUAAUCUGACGGAUAUCCUUCCUCCCCAACAUGAAUCUAAACGACACUAACUUAUGUAUUAUUCUUAACAAAAGCCACUAAUAGUUGCCUAAAUGUCAUGAAACCUCAAAUAGAAGCCUCAGCUACCAUAGAGAGGGACAAUGGUAUCCAUGGUUCAGUUUUGCCACCGCAAAGAGACCCAAUAUCUCUGUUCAAUCCCACUCUAGAUGAUUUCUUCCAUAUGCAGAUAAGCUCUUCACUUAUCUCACACACACACACACAUAUAUAUAUAUACCUUUUGCUUACCUUUUGUCAAAAGUGCUAAUGCUAAACUUCACGUUAUCAAGCAUUGCCAACUAUUAUAACAUGGGUGGGAUGAGAUGUAGCCUCUCUCCACAUAAUCCCACCUUCAACAUAUAGGAGCGGUCGUCUACCAUUAGCUUCCUUGCAUGUAAAAUAUCUCUUUCUGGUAUAAAAUUAAGCAUGUAAAUUCUACUUAGAUAUUGGUGCAACCUAGGGAGAACCACACCCCAAAAGCUAGCUAUUGAGGGGGGAGAGCCCAAGGCUAUAUAAAUCCCACAUCAGCACUUGUAGUACCGAUGUGAGACUCAAGUCUCAUUCCUUGCAAUAGACCACAAAUAUCAACAAAUAAAAAUGUAGCUGGAAAAAUAAAAUAACAAGUCUUCUUCUUCUUAGAUAUGCAUAGACGAAGAGUGAUUACCAUUACUUUAUGCUGGUCUAGGUCGGACUCAACAUAACCAAUAAAAACCGUCAAUAACAUUAGGCAUCAAAUCUUUUCUUCUUCUUUCACAUAUUUCACUUUGAUAGUAAAAGGUACAACAGAAGAUGGUAAAUGAAGGAACAAACUCUUCCUAUGAACUAAAAACUGUAUACAAAGAGGGGAAAAUCAGUCUCUUGUGCACCUAUUAGAUGGUGGAGUCCUAUUUCAUCUAUUCAGUAGGAUUAUCUCUCAGUCAAUUAAGCUAGAUCCAGUUGUAAAAAUCCCACAUAAGGUGCAAAGCAUAGAAGGAAGUUACAAACAAAUUAUAGCACAAUUAGGACCGAGGUUUGAAUAACAUAUGAUAGUAUAGCAUAGAGUAACUAUGCAGCUACUGUAAUUACUCAUUUACCAAACAGAAGGUUGAAUUCGCAUCCUCCAUGAUGUACCACACACCAGAGUUUAUGGCCAGCAACUUCAAGGCUACCAAAACAACUAUAACUUAUAUUUCUAUGGCUGAUGGCAUAUUGUGGAGCAAAAUUUUUGAAGGUAGAAAGCAACAAAGAUUAAAGAGAUGCCUUGUGGCUAUCUCUUUUACUUUAAAACUUUGAAUCCCCUUUGAAAUGUCAUCCAAACCCAUUGGUUUGAAGAAUUCAUCACAAGUUUGUAGGAGUAAUAUGCCACAAAAUAUCAAGAGGAGCUGUUAAUUAACAUCACUUAAGCCACUCUACAGUAUAUCCAUAUCAAGGCAUUGUAUUGAUCAGGGCAACCAGUCAAUAGUAGGGUCCAUGCUAAAUUCGUAUGAGAUGCAUCAAAUUGUUAGUGCUAUACAAAAGAAGUCAUGUAGCUAAAUCUACAAUAUGUCUUCCACAAAAAUGACAAAAAUUGAAUUCAACCUGGCUUGGUUGCAUGGUCAACACCUUUGAUGUGUCCUAGUCAUGUUAAGACUCAAAUCCUCUUCUAUUCCUACAUGUCGACCUUUGUACCAAAAGUAGAAAUCUCAUCCCCCCCCCCCCCCCUUUCCCGACCUAAUUGAAAACAACAAUGAAAUUUUAUGGUAACACCCAUUUUCAUCAAGGUGAGGAGAUACAGAAGAAAACGGUCAAAGAGUCAUUCUAGAAAGCAGAUGAUUCACAGACACAACAACAAUGUUCUCUUUGUCAGUGUAUUUUUGAAUCUCUAAUGUUUGAGACUUGAAUCCCCUUCAAUUCCCAAAUGUCGAACUUUGCACCUAAACCAAAUAACUUCUAAAAUCCUAAUUUGAACUAGCGCAAAAAUUGACAGCAUGCCUACGAAGUCUUUUUUAAGAUAUAAUUGUCUCUAAGCCAAAGUAGAUCAAUAAGGUUUCAUAUGCUACGUCCUCUAAUCACAUUUGAUGUCCAGAUUCUUCUAUUGAAAAAAUUUACCUCGUAAAAAAAAUUAACUACAAGAAGUGUCUCCGCAUUUAACACUAAUUCAAGUUCUUCCUUUUCCCUUUUCAUCUUAUAAAAGUGAAGUGACAUUCAUAAGGAGUACCAAACACAUCAUUUCCAACAACUACAAAGGCAUAGUAGGAUUGAAAAGGAAACAACAAACAAUGUACUAAGACUGACUCAAGCAGGGUAUACAAGGAUUCUUAACCAAAUCUCCAAUCCUUGGGAUAACACAAAGGAAAUGAUAUUUUUAUUUAUGUUAGCUAGUGAAAUAGAGGGGAGAGAAACCAUAAGCUAGUGUAUUUCAUUUUUCCUUCUUUUUUCGUCAUUGACAGGAUGCAACCUCAAGAAAGUAACCCUAGCUCAUUUUGUUUUUCCCCUAAUUUAAAAGGGCUCAUAAAUUAAAGAUACACAAUCUUGAGGGUAUACAUGGAUCUAAUUCUUGGACUGCAAGGAAGGAACGUCUAUACAUUAAUCUAAAUAGAACCUAGCAUGCAGCAACAUCCAUUAAUUUCUCCUAUGAUAAUCCAAAAUGCGGAGCAGAGUGUUGACCGGUCAAGAACUCACACGUUCAGAAGAUGCAAGUAGCGAAAAUGAAGAUGCUUGGAAGGAUGUGUGAGCAUAUAAGGAGAGAUAAGAUUAGGAAAGAAGAUAUACGGAGCAAGGUGAGAGUGGCCCUCACGGUGGACAAGAUGCGGGAAGCGAGAUUGAGAUGGUUCGGGCAUGUGAAAAGCACGAGCACAGAUACCCUAAUGAGGAGGUGCGAAAGGUUGGCAGUGAUAGGUCUUAAGAGAGGUAGAGGUAGACCGAUGAAAAACUGGGGAGAGAUGAUUAGACAGGACAUGACACAUCUUCAGCCCACCGAAGACAUAACCCUAGAUAAGAGAGCUUGGAGGCCGAGGAUUAGAGUAGAAGAUUAGUAGGUAGUCAAGCGAUUUCUCUCUUUUUUACGGGAGAGCAGUGGUUCUAGUUUAGAGCACCCUCUUCUCUUUAUCAGUAUUAUUAUUAUUAUCCUAGUAUUAUUAUCUUAUUCUUCAAUUUUAUACAACUGUUUUUUUUUACUUUGAUUAACUUUCCUAUUUUGCUGGCAAUACUUUUCUUUUCUUCAGUAUUUUUAUCAUAGCUUUUUUACUUUUGUAUUUUUCAAACCUGUUUUGAAAAUUCUUUUCUUGAGCCAAGGGUGUAUCGAAAGUAACCUAUAUACCUCACACAAGGUAGGGGUAAGGUCUUCGUACACCCUAUACUCUCCAAACCCCACACGUGAGAUCACACUGUUCAUGUUGUUCUUGUUCUUGAUAAUCCAAAAUGUAAGAAAUAUGUUUUCUUCUUAGCAGUUUUGGCAAAGAGAAGCAGCAAUGCUGAGGCAACAACUUCAAAACUUGCAAGAGAAUCAUCGGUAAACUUUCUUGUUCUUUAUCACAUAUAUUUCUUCUUUCUGCUAAUAACUUAGAAUAAAAAUAAGAAUGUUUUUGCGUGUUAAGCAAUUCAGGUAUUUUCUUAAAUUGAGUUCAUGUUAGUCCAAUGCAGCUUUUGAGAUGUUUAAGCAAAAUUAUAUCAGGAGAAAGUACCCAGUAAUUUUCAUUGAGUUCCGUACCAUAGGAGUCAAAUUGUUUCACAAGUGGAAAUUUUUGUUCUUAGAAUUGUUUUAUUAUUUAGGUGCUUAAAUCUACUUUGUCUGCUAUUUAAGUUAUACAAGGAGCUUAUAUAGUGACUGAGCUACAACGGAAGAGUAGAGAGACACGAGUAAUGUGCAAAGUGGUCUGUAAAAGACAAAUGACUUCUGGACUUCGUUACAGAGAAGAAGGGAUGGGAGAGAUGAUAACAAUGAUCCACUUUCUGAUACCCAUUAUCAAGUUCUCAGUCUAGUAAAUGGAAUCCCAAAGGUUUCUUUGGAAGCUCAAGAGGUCUAUGACAAAGUGAUCACCUUACCAACAACAACAACAACAACAAAAAACCCAGUUUGAUCCCAUAAUUGGGGUUUGGGGAGGGUAGUGUGUACACAGACCUUACCCCUAUCUCAUAGAGAUAGAGAGACUGUUUUCGAUAGACCCUCGGCUCAAGAAACAAUGAAAAUAAAGCACCAAGUAGCAAAGAAUGUUAGCACCAGUGAUCACCUUACCAAAGUAGUCAAAAGCAAAAAGUGCUAAAGCUCGUUGGGCUUUAAGAUUAAAGUGCAAUCCAAGUAUGGGCUUUAACGAAAAAAAAGAGCUAAUGAAAAAAAUGUAAAGCAGUGUAACUACAAAAAAAAGUUCUUUGGACAAAAGAAUGGAAUUAGGCUAUAUAUAUGAAGUAAAAGUCAUGUAAAGUAAGUUCAGAAACAAUUUUAAACUUCUUAUUUAGAUGAAAAACAUAGUUUAUAUUUUUAAUGGCUAGUUUUCUUAUAUUUAACUUCUAAUUUCAUUUUUCCAUUUUUUUGACAACCGUGGUGUCCGGGCCAGCUUGCGCGCACCUCGACUAAUUCCACGGAAUACCUAUCACCUCCCACCGGCAACAGAUAUCAGGUAACUCUGUCCACCAAGGUUAGAACAGAUGAGAAGAAAUCACUUAGUGUUUUGUCUCUGUUGGAGAUUGAACCUGAGACCUCAUAGUGCUUAAAUCACUUCAUUGACCACUAGGUCACACCCUUAGGUGCAACUUCUAAUUUCUUAGUGCUAAUCACUAAAAGUUCAGUCAUAUGGCUUUUUUAACAAUUAAUAUAUCAUUUUGUCAACUCUAUUUAUUGUCUAGUGCUAUGCUCUUAAAGACUGAGCUCAUAGGUGAAGAAGAACAUAUUAUAGCACCUUAGCACCUACACUAAAGUGCCAACCAUGGGAGGUGACUCCCACAACUUGGUUUCACUGAGCUUCAAGACUUAAGUGUGCCUUAAGCGAGACUUUAACAACCCUACACCUGACAUUGUUCUUACUGAUCAUUGAAAUAUUCAACAAGAAGAUGGAGAGUAAGGACAAGGGGUUAUUUAUGGGGCUUCACAGUUUGUAGGGUAGGAAAGAUAGUUUACAGGUGUAUUAUCUACUAUAUCUUACUAUAUGCAGAUGAUAUGUUUGUGUUAUUACCGAGGCAAAUCCACUCUACUGUUGUGGUCUCAGGGAACUCUAAGAUUGAUGAAGUGAAGAGCAUUAAAUAGCUGGUGGACAUCCAUAGUUGCAGUAUGGGUCCCAUCAUAAGAUGACUUACCAAUACUACCGCUGGGUGCGACUUUCAAGGAUUGCCAAAGAAAAAAACUGAUGGCCGAGAGAGUCAAAAAGAGACUAACAGGCUGUUAGAAGAAAUACUUCUUGAAAAUGUGAGAUAGAGACAGCGAUCAAGAGAAAUUUGCUUAAUCUGCCAACUUACUAUGUAUCCAUAUUGUUUAUACCAGUACGAUUUACAAAGAUUGUGCAAUAUGAAAGACAAAGUUGAGAACCAAAAAGAAACUAAAAGGACGGUAGAAGUAAUACUUAAAAGGGAGAGAGACAUUGAUCAAAGAGUAAUUUUUCGUAUCUGUCAACUUACUAUGUACCAGGAAUCAUGGCAAAAGAUUGAAAAGUGUGAACGAAUCUUUUAUGGGACACGAUAGGGAGGUGGAAUGUUCAUAGAACUCAACUAGGGAAGUUGAUUAAGGGGUUUCGCAUGGAAAUCAACCAUUGUGGAGAGCGAUCAUAGUUAAAAAGUAUGUAGAUCAAGUGGGAUAGUUAGGACCAAUCAGAUUAUCCAUGCUAUAUGGAGCAACUCUAUGGAGGAUAUAGUGAAAAUGUGGACAGAUUCUAUGAAAGUGUCAAAUUUAGGACGGAGGUACUGAAACCCGAAUCAAUUUCUGGAAAUAGAGACGAUGUAGUCAUAUUCUUUUGUAUUAAGUUUUCUGAUAAUAUUCAAUACUUUCAGCUAGCAGACACUAACACUCGUCCCAAUUAUAAAGAACGAGGAGAAUCCUAUAGAAACUACAUUUGAGUGAAGGAUUGGGAGAUGAAGCAGCUUAAUAGUUUGCUUACAUUACCGCACAAGCAAAAAUAUCAUUUAUGGACAAAGGCAGCUGGAAACGGGAAAGGCCAGAAAGAUGUUGUACUCAUAGUGAAAUCAUUUUAUAAUGGACUGCUAAAGACAAGGUAACUUCCCUCACUAAUAUGGUGCUUUUUACACCGAUAGUAACACAAGAAGCUAUCCUAACAACAAAGAAUUUGAGAGGAAAAUGGACAAUCCCUGUCACUUCGGUAUUUACACAAGGGAUGUACUGUUUUUAGAGAAUGUAUGGUAUCUCAAUCAGUAUUGAUGACCGAAUGCUCUUUGUAGGGAUUUGGAUACAUAUGGGAAUCAGCCCAUAAUAUCAGUAUAUUAUUGAAUUCAUCAACAAAGUAACUAGGCUAAAUGAAUUAUUUCCUCCAUUACUCUACUUAAAAUAUUAAACACUGAUCUUUUGGAUUGAGAAAAGGGAAAGGAGAAGAAUGGAGAUGAUGUAGAGAAAAGGAAAGAAAAGGAAAGCAGAGUGUUACUUUUCUGUCUUCAAAUUGAUGGAGUAAGGAAAUAUAAAAGAAUGUGUAUUAAUUGACACUAAUUCCCUUAAGAGUUAUUUUGUUCAUAAUCCUGAGCUUUCUUUUAAUGCUACAAAAGUUUCACUACAGCAUGUCCUGUUUUUCUUCGUUUCACCCAUUUUUGGACAGAACAUUGUGUUAACGAACUUAACUCCCCUUUCCCUCCCUUUCUAUUCCUAAAAACCAAUUCCGAGCAAAAAUAAAUAAAUCACCUACUCUUCUUUCCUCUGACUUAGAGAAGGCUUAGGAUAAAGUACUGAGGGAGGUAUGUGAAGAUGUUUGAAGACUAGAGGUGUUCCUGUUGCAUACAUUAGGGCUAUUAAGGAUAUGUAUGAUAGAGCUAAGACUCGUGUGAGGACACUAGGAGGGGACUCGGAACACUUCCCGGUUGUGAUGGGGUUGCACCAGGGGGUUAGCCCUCAGCCCAUUUCUGUUCAAAGGGAGGUACCGUGAUGCAUGUUAUUUGCAGAUGACAUUGUACUGAUUGACGAGAGGCGAGGUGGUGUAAACGUAAGGUUAGACGUUUGAAGGCAGACCCUGGAGUCUAAAGGUUUCAAGUUGAGUAGGACCAAAACAGAAGACAUAGAGUGCAAGUUCAGUGGUGCGACUCAGGUAGUGGAUGAAGACGUGAAGUUUAAUUCACAAGUCUCUAGGAGAGAGUUUCAAGUACCUUGGGUCAGCUAAUACAAGGGAAUGGAGAGAUCAACAAGGAUGUCACACAUCGUAUUGUGGCUGGAUGGAUGAAAUGGAAGCUCGUUUCCGGUGUUUAGUGUGAUAAGAAUGUGCCGCCAAGACUUAAAGGUAAGUUCUAUAGUGCAGUGGUCAGACCGAUUAUGUUAUAUGAGGCGGAGUGUUGGCCAGUCAAGAACUCUCAUGUCCAGAAGAUGAAGAUGACUGAAAUAAGGAUGUUGAGAUGGAUGUGUGAGCAUACUAGGUUAGAUAUAAUUAGAAAUGAAGUUAUCCGGGAUAAGAUGGGCCGGGACAAGGUGGGUGUGGCCCCUGUAGAGGACAAGAGGUGGGAGACGAUACUUAGAUGGUUCGGGUAUGUGAAGAGGAGAGGCACAGAUGCACCGGUAAGGACGUGUGAGAGGUUGGCCUUGGAGAGCCAACGGAGAAGUAGAGGCAGGCUGAAAAGUAUUGGGAAGAGGUGAUUAGGCAAGAUAUGGCGUUGCUCCAACUUACUGAGGGCAUGUCCAUGGAUAGGAAGGUGUGGAGUUUGAGAAUAAAGGUAAAAGGUUAGGUAGCCGAGCGAUGUCCUUGUUUGUUACAGUAGCUCUAGUACAUCACUUGGUGUCUUUCGUGUAUUUUUGUCUUCCCAGACUUCUGUCAUUACUUGUUACCUUCGCUUGGGUUUUCCGAUUGCAUUACCUUGUGUUAGUUUGUAUUUUCGCUUGGCUUUCCGAUUGGUUUGCUUGUUAUUGUCCCUUCCCUUUUAUCUUUCCUGAGCCAAUGGUCUAUCGGAAACAGUCUCUCCACCUUCUUAAAGGUAGAGAUAAGGUCUGCAUACACACUACCCUCCCCAAACCCCACUUGUGGGACUACACUGGGUAUGUUGUUGUUGUUGUUGAUGAUGUACUCUUCUUUCCUCUCAUUUCUAAAUAUCUUUCAAUCCUAAAGUUCUAUUAGUACUUUGCCUCCUAAAUUAUAUGUUGAAGACCUUUCCAUUUCAACUUAUUUCAUCAUUUUGGAGCCCAGAAGUCAAGUUUUCAUUUGAAUUAGUUAAUAGUUGAGUAAUUCUAAAUGUUUGUUGUCAUUUCAUAUAGUUUAUAGUUACGCUAAUGAAAUAGUUGACUUACUUUUUUAUUGUUAAAAAAGUAAACUUGUUUNNNNNNNNNNNNNNNNNNNNNNNNNNNNNNNNNNNNNNNNNNNNNNNNNNNNNNNNNNNNNNNNNNNNNNNNNNNNNNNNNNNNNNNNNNNNNNNNNNNNNNNNNNNNNNNNNNNNNNNNNNNNNNNNNNNNNNNNNNNNNNNNNNNNNNNNNNNNNNNNNNNNNNNNNNNNNNNNNNNNNNNNNNNNNNNNNNNNNNNNNNNNNNNNNNNNNNNNNNNNNNNNNNNNNNNNNNNNNNNNNNNNNNNNNNNNNNNNNNNNNNNNNNNNNNNNNNNNNNNNNNNNNNNNNNNNNNNNNNNNNNNNNNNNNNNNNNNNNNNNNNNNNNNNNNNNNNNNNNNNNNNNNNNNNNNNNNNNNNNNNNNNNNNNNNNNNNNNNNNNNNNNNNNNNNNNNNNNNNNNNNNNNNNNNNNNNNNNNNNNNNNNNNNNNNNNNNNNNNNNNNNNNNNNNNNNNNNNNNNNNNNNNNNNNNNNNNNNNNNNNNNNNNNNNNNNNNNNNNNNNNNNNNNNNNNNNNNNNNNNNNNNNNNNNNNNNNNNNNNNNNNNNNNNNNNNNNNNNNNNNNNNNNNNNNNNNNNNNNNNNNNNNNNNNNNNNNNNNNNNNNNNNNNNNNNNNNNNNNNNNNNNNNNNNNNNNNNNNNNNNNNNNNNNNNNNNNNNNNNNNNNNNNNNNNNNNNNNNNNNNNNNNNNNNNNNNNNNNNNNNNNNNCUUAAACUCCGUGCCCAGUCAAAUGGGUUCACAUAAAUUGAAACGGAGGGAGUAGUUGAGUAAUUCUAAAUGUUUGCUGUCAUUUCAUAUAGUUUAUAGUUACGCGAAUGAAAUAGUUGACUUGCUUUUUUAUUGUUAAAAAAGUAAACUUGUUUCAUUUCUCAUUUCUCAUUUUUUAUUGCUUUAGGCAAUCCCUAGGAUAACCACCAAUUUCCCUAAAAAAGCUACUGAUAUGCAAGAAAUUAAGGGUUAAACUAUCAGCCACCUUACUAGGAAGUGCCACUAGAUAGCUGGUAGCAUUUUCAGUUUUCAAAAUAGCAGAUGACACAGAGAUAUCUGCUCUAGAUCCUCCAUAAGAAGGUUAUAUCUGUAAGUGCUAACAGAAAGGACACUCAGAUUAUUUGAGGUUACUGAUAUUCCAAUCAAAAUUAUGAGGCAUUCAAGACCGUGAGCAUAAUCCUUACAAUGUCUUUACUAUCAUCCCUCACAUCAAGGCGUAUAAGUAUCAAGCAGCAUUCAGUAUCUCUUAUAUCUUAUGAUUAGAAGUAUUAGCAUGGACUUCUAAAGCAUACUACAUUUUGCAAAAUAUACUGCAGAGAAUCAUGCAAUUUACUGAAGGAUUCUGUAGAAGUGUUUACACUAGAUAAACUCAGAAACCACUCAAUGUUGGGAGUGAAAAUCCAAUAAUAAGCCCAUCUCAAAAAUGGUGUUAUAGAUUUAUGCUAAAGCCCAAACCCUCAAGCUGUUUAGCAUAAAAAAAGAAAAAAAAAAAGAUGCGAGAAGCAACAGUUGUUAGAAAUGGGAUGUAUGUCUAAAUCAUAGUCAGUCAGGUAUCAAUUUUUCUGUUGAAGUCGCAUGUUUGUUAACAGUUUAUUUAUGCACUAUAGACAAAUGAUGGGUGAACAGCUUUCUGGUCUGAGCGUCAAAGAUUUACAGAACUUGGAGAACCAACUGGAAAUGAGUCUCCGUGGUGUUCGUGUAAGAAAGGUACGAAACUUCCAGAUCCAUCAAAUGUGUACUAUCUUAUAUGAACUAAGAAAGAACUAACUCAACCUCUCAUUUCUACAGGAUGAAAUUCUGAUUGAUGAGAUACAAGAACUAAACCGAAAGGUCAAUCAACAUAAAUGCAGUGACUUAUUUUCAAUUUGUUCUAAAAAGGAUAACUUUUAAAGAAGCUAAAUUAACUUUUUUCCUUGCAGGGAAACCUCAUCCAUCAAGAAAACAUGGAACUAUAUAAGAAGGUAAACCUAAUUCGUCAAGAAAAUAUGGAAUUGUAUAAGAAGGUAUCUAUGUACAUCACUAAGAGCUUUCACUGCGCUUCAAGAACAAUUAUUUCCUUUCGUAUUCAUAUACCAAAUAAAAAUGUUUCACCAUUCUACUUAGAACUCUAGCAAAUUGUUUCUACAUUUUGUGUUAAACUUCAGGUUUAUGGAAAUAGAGAUGCAAAUGGAGUGAGCGGAAAUUCCCUUGCUCCGAACAGUUUAAGCAUUAAUGAAGACCCCCACGCUCCUGUACAUCUCCAGCUUAGCCAGCCACAGCAACAAAACUAUGACACAUCAGGAACUACCGAAUUGGGGUAAUUUCUUAUUCAUAUACUUCAUCUGGAAGCACAAGGGUAGCUCACUACCUUGAUCAUUGACUAUCAUCUAACUGGAACAUGCUGCAGGCUACAGCUGCAUUAGCGGGAAAACCAGACUCGUAAGAGUUUUGAGUUCUCAUGUUGAAGAAGCAGCCCGUGCUUACAAAGCUAUGUUUUAAUUAGUAAUGGUAGUAGUGGUAUAGGACCAGGGAUGUCAGGAAAAAUCUUCCGUUUCAUAUGGUUAAUGUCAGCAAGUUUGACAAGUGUGAGGUAAUCCAUAGCACAGCUACUUAAGUCAAAAUAACAACAAAUAAAAGAAUACAUUGGCACAGUAUCUCUAAGUUCUUCAUCUUUCUCGACACUUGAUGCUUAUGAUGUGUAUGCAUAUAUGCAUAUAAAACAGGAGCAAGAGCGAAGAAAUGUAAGCAGAAAAGGUUUUACAAAACAGUAGCUCCUCAUAGAAAUUCCUUGAGAAACACACCACAUGCAAACAGUACAGAUCUGAGCUAAGCAACUUAAUACGUUAAGACAUACCUCAAAGUUGCAUCAAUAUGCUUUGCAUGCAAUAGGCUUCAGCAAGGACAAACUAAGUUCAUUACACACCAAUGUCAAAUUUCAGCAUUCAACUGGAAAAGAAAAUUACACAAUACGAAUUUAUAUUAGUAAUGCUCUUCCCGGGAAUUUCAGAAUGAAUGAUCUUGAGCUUGAAGACUGAAUAUGUAUAGAAAGAAUUAUAUCAGGAAACAAUAUAUGAAACAUAUUUCACAAUUUUGAGUACUACAUUCUUUGCUGCCAAAUACAGUAAGUGCUUUUUUUUUUUAAAUAAGGAAUAUAGUAAGUGCUUCUUAAACAAGUUAUUUCUGGAUCACAAGGAUACCAUUGCUAAACCGACACGAAUGGCAUGCCCAAUCAACAACAAUUUCUAUACUACAAAAGACAAAGUCUCACCAAAUUAUCUAUUUGUACAGCAAUGGAUUGCACACUUAAAUUAACAAGAAAGCAUUCAUGCUUAGGUCAUGAACUGUCUCAUCAUAAAGUUCAUCUCAGGCAGAAGUCUUCUGUAUUACUUCAGGAAAUACACAUAGGCAGAACACAGUCAUCUAAAAAGGUGUAGAGUCUUAACCACAAAAGACUAUUCAACUGCUAUCUGGAUGUAGUUUACAUGACGUGAAUGAAGGAAUAUUGGGUAGUGAAUAAUACUAGGGAAUUGAAAAAAAGGCAAAAACUUCACGGAGCUUAUCAAAGUUUAGUGUGUAGGUACUACAUAUUGACAAGGUAAAGGAAUUAAAACUAGAAAUUUGAAUUUCUCUUCAAACAGCAAAACUGCAAGCAUGCAAUGUUACCAAAGAAUAUGAUCCCACCUGCUCGGGAAAUUCCAGAAAAUUGUGUAAAAUAAACAAAAAGGAGAAGUUUCUUCUUAGUUUUUAGUGGAAUAAUCAGCACCGCUGAGCAUCCUUUACAAUGCCAAUACCAACAAUGGUUGGAAAACUUAUUACAACCAAAGCUCAAUAAUGGCAGCAGCAGCAAUUUCAAACACUGAGAAUACAAAACAUAAUUAAACAAUCUCUCUUAGUCAAAGAUUCUCAGUUCAAGACAACUAGAAACAAAAGAGGUGUAGAUAAGGUUUCAUAUUGGCUUAGCACUUCGAUAAAAAUGAAGACAGCUAGCGUAGUAAGGAUCAUAAAGAUGCAGAAUCGAACAAAUUCAGAGGAAACUGACACGACUCAAGGAAAAAGAAUGGACCAUCUAGUGUUACUGCAGUAUCUCAACUAAAUAACACUUUACAUCAAUGUAGCAACAAGAUUAAGAAUUCCUUGACAGGCCGGACAAGGAUAGCCCUUGUACAGAGCAAGGAUCUAUACACCAUAUUUCAGUAAGAUGGCAUGUUUCUCUCUUGGAGAUGCCAAUAUUGAGGUUCUUUCAAAUUGUCCUUUUUUAGUUAUAUAUAGUAAGCUAAGUUAAGCCACUUGAAUCCUUUAUUUUCAGUUCUAUCAUGGUUUAAUUGAAGGUCAUCAUGAAAAUUUUAGUCAUCAUGAGAAUUUUAGCAACAUAACAAAUGCGCAAUCUUAUUUAGAGGGUCUAAGUAAAUAAAACUACAGAAAGGUAAAUAUACUAGUAUGCACUGUUACGACCAUAGCAUUAAUAUGUUAUCCUGUUAACAGGACAGGCAAGGAAAUAGUGUAGUAACCUUAUUCCUGAACUUCAUUUGUAGUGCCUAAAGUUUAAGUUUGAGGCGCCAUUAUAAUUGAGUAUGAGGUCAAAUCACCAAGCUUUGUUUCCCCUUUCUUUAAGAGCUCAGAAUUUUUUUAAACUUUAUAUAUGUAUUAACCCACUUCAACCAUUCCAAAAAAUUGGCAUUACUCAAGGUAGGUGAACUAGAGACCGUAAGCUAGCCCAGCUUAUUACUUCCCAAAACUUAACGCUUAUUGUGAACGAGCUCUCUAUUUCACAGAAAAGGAGAUUGGCAGAAAAAGGAAGGGAGUGAAGUACAAUUGGGGAGGAGUUGGGACUUGAACCAUCUUGAUAUAAGAGGCACAGACUCAAACAAAUAUGAGAGGCAGAUAUAUACUCUACAAAAAGAAAAGAAAAUGUAUUAUGGUGAUAUGUUGGUAAGAGAGUACGAAUACAAGUGGCGAAGCUAGGAUUUCCGCCACGGGGAUUCAAAAAACAAAAAAGUAGGCAUGCAGAGAGGCCAAGGGGAUUCAAUACCUAAUAUAUUUACAUAAAAAUUUUGACCUUAUAUAUGCAGUGUAAUUUUCCGGCAAAGGGAACCCCCUUCCGCCACCCUAGCUCCGCCCAUGCAUUGAUGCACGCACAUUUGUUCAAAAGCAUAUAAACAAACAAUGUAUAGCAAUAGCAUUAUGAUCUUGUCAUCUUGAUGUCUAUCAUAACCAUUUUAUUUAUUCUUGAAUCAUAUUUUCACAGUUAAGACAUGACAUCUAUUGUAUUGAAAAUGUGGUAAAAAGUCAUUUUUGUUGCAUUAAACAAAGCAACUGUAACUGAGUUAUAUCAGUAAAAAAUGUGUCUAAUUUAUUUCUUCUAUCCCUCAAAAACCUAUUACUUCCUCUAUCACAUUUUUCUUUUUCCCUUUUCCUUUUUUUGGAAAAAGGGCCACUUUUAUUAUUUUGGGAGUUCUUUGACCACAACCACCCUUUUUUAAACCUUUCAAAUAUUUUGAAUUAUUAACUUUUGUGACCUAUGGUACCUUUUAUGCAGUUUCCAACUAUGUAAAUUUUAUUUCAAAAACUUGAAGAAUCCAUGUUUAAAUCCACACCAAAAAUUAGGUACUUUAGCCGUUGUACUGUAAAACAGAGGAAUUAUUCAAUUAAAAUCACUAGGAACCUGUAUGAUGCACUUUAUUCAAGGAUAUGAUUAAACGAAUGCACUAAAGAUUUCCAUCACAUCCAGGACUAUCUAUGGAAUGUAAUCCGGACCAGCUCAAAUAGGACUAAGUACUAACUGCCUUGUCAUUUACCAAAAUGCUAAUAAAUCCCACUAGCCACCAAAUGUAUGGUAGAAAUCCAUUUCAAAAUAAGACUACGUUUAACGAAAGGAAAAUAUGACAGUUCAACAUAAUCAGGACCAAAAAGAACUGUCCAAUGAAAAAGAAAAAAUAGCACAUCAAAUCAAAGCUCUAAUCCUAUAAAGAUAAGGAGAAAGAAUACCAUGCAAUACCCAUAUAACUAUAUCAUUUACACGAUGGAAAGGCUAUAAGAACUAGAUAAUAAGCUGCAUUUAGUCCCAGGUAGUUUGACAGAAGGGGAACCAACCAUACAAUAGGAUCUCAUUUAGUUGCUCUAUGUUAUCUUCCUUACCAACUAGACUUAUUUCACACUCCUUCAUGUCUAUCUUCAGACUCAAAGCUACCUAGAUAAUUACGUGCUUUUCAAGUAGCGGAGUUGAUGCGCCUCGGGGUCAUAAUAUGCAAGAGUACUGUCCGCAAAAGAAGAUGAAACAUCCCUACAUUGGUCCAGCCUUCCAUGCUAGCUACAAGGAUCUUAGAUAACCCCCAAUCACAACUCUAUUUGUAGCUUUGAUGAGCAAUUCUUGAACAGCAACAACAGCCCCCCAAACGUCCAACAGUAAGAACUCCCUCUCCCACUGACUGCCUCUUCUCUCCCUAUGUUGCUAAAAUCCACUCUUUUUAAUUUAGAGUUUUAUGUCCACAUUAUCAUCAUUCAAUAACUCCUCUUACUUCCUUUUUCUCCAUAUUCUACCUAUUUCACCUUUAUUGUGUCCAUAAAAUUCCUCCUCCGACUAGCAAUUGCUAACAGAUAAAAAGAAUUUAUGUUGCAAUCACCCUUCUUCAACCACAAUAUCCUCAAAUUUUAUCUCCAUUUAAUGCUUGGGUGACUGUCAUGUUAGCUAAUUACUCUUUUACCUCAUACUUCCUAAUUCAUCCCUCUUAAUUAAGCCCCCUCUUGCUUUCCUCUCCAAUUGUCCCAAUUCAUUCAUCAGUUCCCUUGUUAUAUUUUUAUCCUCUAAAGUACUUCUCCAGUCCAUCUUAAAUAAUUUGUUAGCCGCUUCAACUUCUUCGCCAUACAAAAAGAGGAGCCCUUUGGAUAUGGUACUCCCUCCAUCCAGCCAGCACUGACCGAUUCUAAUUGUUAGGAAGGGCACUCCUUAUUCUGCUACAAUCUACAAAAUCAAUAUAGGGUUUAAUAUUAGCAGAGAAGAAGCAAUUUGGAUAAAUAUCAGUAGCAUCCCCUCCCAGACUGUUGGAUGAGAAACUUGUCGAGCCUUGAUUGACUCUUCAGUUGUGGAUCAGAUAAAUUAACAGCUGUCAUGGGAAAGUCAACAAAUGGGAGAGAGUUGAUUACAUCGUGAAUUUACCAUUGCCCAAAGGAAUGGCAUACCACCUCUUUCUUUCCUUUUAAAACAUUAAUGUUCUAGCCAGUUCGCAUGCACUCGACUAAUCCAUCAGGUAACUUCCAUUCUGUCAUCUCCCAUAAGCACAUGUAUCGGAGAAUAAUGACCUACUAUAUUUGCCUAUGUUGGGAUUUAAACGCUGGCCUCACAUUCCUCUCUUUCCUCCAGGAGUCUUAUUGCACUGCAAUCCCGAGCUAUCUCACAUUACUCCAUCGUAGCAUCACCAAUGAGAUCUCCUCUCAAAACUCCAUUUUGACCCCUCACUUGCCGACCCAUCAAUUUCACUCGACUAAACUAUCCACACUUUCAAAGAUCACAAUAAUUGUGGAAUCUCCUUCAUCACAUCUCGAAACUUCAACAUCGACAUGUCUUAUAACACCACAAUCUCUUCUUAUCUCCUCCUAAUUUAUAAGCAUAUCAUUUUCACUUCUCACUCUUAUGUUUUCACACACUUAUGAUAAUUGACUCUGGUAUUUUUUUUCAUUUUUAUUUCUUGCAAGCACGCUAAUCAUACAUUUCUCCUUUAACCCCACCUUGAUAAUGGCCCUUAUACUUUGAGGCAUUCACUCUUCUCACCCCACUCUAUCUAUCUCUUCCUUCUCCUAUUAGCCCUUCCCUUCAUCCCACAUGGAUCCAUAACUUAUAUUUUUAUAAUUAGCAUUAAUAACUUAUACUUCUUGGAUCACAACUUAUAUUGCAUCUAAAUACUUUACUCUCUUUAAUUUUUUUUCAUUUGCCCCACUCAAUUAUCUCAUACGCUCCUCAACUACUCAUUUAUGUUUUCGUAGGCUCAUGUCAAAUACUUCCUCCUUUUCAACCAUAGAGCUUAGGAAAGAAAAGAAGAUUUUUGAAACUUCCAAUCGUAAAUAUGUCAUAACAUUUGUGUGGCUAUAAUACUUUUGAAACUUUUGAUCUUAAAUAUGCCGGAAUAUUUUUUUGGCUACAAAAGCUUCUUAGAAAGGGUAAAAUGAGAAGUCACAUUUAAUUUAGAAAGAGGUAAGUCUUUUUGGAAUGACUAAAAAGAAAAUAGGAUAACAUAAAUUGGAUCGGAGAGAAUAUGAGUUUAUUGGUCUCUCCUCGAACUGUAAAAUGAAAACCCUAAUUUUCUAUUAAAAAAAAUCCUUAAUUUAUGUUAGUACAUGUGUUUAAAUACAAAAAAGUAGGUUAGGUAGCCAAGCCAUUUCACGAGGAAAAUCGCUUUGAAUAUGAUCUCUAAACAAUUCUAGAGGAACAAAGCUAGUUAACGAUAAAACAUUAUUUUCCUAGAGUAAUGGGUAAAAAUUAACAUGGUGUGACUAGAUUUUAAUUGGAUUGCCAAGUGGUAUUUCAGUUCAACUUCUACCGUAGGCCAUUAUACUGGUAAAAUGGUCAAUUUCUUGUUGAUAGUGUUUAGCUAUCUGUAUUUUAAAUGAUGUAGCAUGGAUACACUUUAUAUCAAUAACACCAAAAAUUAUGAUAACAUUAACAGGAAGGCAAAACGUAUUGCAGAUCAUAACACAGUUCCCAGGAGAAGCCAUAAGACAGCGGCACUAAGAGUACAUCACACAGGUAGGAAGCAUAUUUCACACGCCAUAAGGUAAAAGUUACUACUAGUAUCUAUUUCUUGUGAUGAAUUAGUGCCAAAAGAGAAAAAAUACAGCAGAAACCAAAAAAAAAAAGGGUACAUGCAAUAACAAAUAUGGAUCCAUCACAGAUUCGACCGAGAAACAUUAAAGUGAUUCUUUCUAUGAAAUACUAAAGCGAAUUAAUUAGCAACAGUACAUCAAAUGUGACAUUAAAGCCAACAUAAGAUGCUUAUGGACCUCGUAAAGAAACGGAACUCCAAUAACUCGGCAAAGAAAAGCUUUGUGCAAAGAAGAAAGAAGAAACUAAUUGAAACAUUUAUUUAAUUUAAAUAUGCAAUAAAUAUGAUAGAAACAGCAUUACGAUUUACGCACCUGAAAAACGAAGCAACGGCAUUUCCGCAAUGCUGGGAGUGAUUACAUAUUGUAUCUUCUAAAAACUUAUGAUCUGAGAAAAGUUCCAGAAGAAAAUUGAAAAAACAAAACGAAAAACGAUCCCGAUCAGCAAGUUGAACUAAAUUAUACUCCUAUGAUGAAAAGAAAACAUGAAACGUAUAGCAAAAGUAUCGCAAUACGUAGUCAGUCUAUAAGCAAAGGUGAAAAUUGCGUUUAGCAUAUGAUAUUAAAAAAGAUUUUUUCUAUAUUUCUUAGAAACAAAACAUAAAAGCGAUGAAUGAACCACCGCCAUUAAUGGCCAAAAAAAUUGCAAUUUCAUAGUGUUGUGAGUGAUCGAAAAGUUAAUCAGACAAUUUGAGGAGAAGAUGAAUGAAGAUGCACUGAGAAUUGAAAGAAAAAUAAGAGUAAUUUCAAUGGCUUUUUCAGCAGAAAGAGAAACGGGAGAAUAGAUACCUACCAGAUAAGUUUAUGGAGACGGAAAGAGAGGAGAGAACAAUGAAUAGGAAGGGAAUGAAAAAUAUCUGCGUUAAGCCGGAGUAGAGAGUGGGGCAGGGGCUUGAGAAAUUGGGGGUGGGGUUGGGGGGGGGGGUGCCCCCACUAGAUUUGGUUUGGGUAAUUUUGAUUCUCUGGGUACUGCCAAACUGGUGAUUAUUUUAUUGAGAUGAGAAAUCCGUGUUCUUGUGCUUCUCCGAAUCUCUGGGGACCUGCUGCUGUUUUACUGUGAGUCUAUGAGUAUUAGGUGAGAGUAUUAAUUUUAUUUGAAUCUAAUUUUUAUAUACAUUUAACAAUUUACUCAAAAAAUUGUAAUUAUAAAUAUAGACUGCUAAAACAGAAAAGAAAACAAAUAAAG